ensembl:lncRNA
GCCUUAAUUUAAGCCUGCUUCUGGUAGCCAUUGAUUCAUAGCAGAGCAACUGGCAAGGCCUUAUCCCAAGUUAAAUCAGUCUCUUGAUAUAUUUAGAGACAUCUCUUUUUAAUGUAUGGCUCAUUUCCUUAGUUUCUUUUUCUGUUGAUUGUGCUUUUCAGGUUGAAUGUAGCUUUAACGCCUUAAUCUAAAUCAGUGGAUAGUUUCCCUAAGAGGGCUUUAACCACCUCAGAGAUUUUUUUGUCCGGGGGGGUAUGCUUUCACUCAUUCUAAAAAUGUGCCCACACAAACACUAACGGGUUGUCUGAAGUUUCUUGCGAUCCAAGGCAUCUUAGUAAAGUCUAGUUUUCAGUCCUUGGCGGGACAGGUUCCUCUGUGUUGUGUCUGGGGAGGUCUGACAGCAGUCUUUAGGUUAUUUUUAAGACCCUGGGGGGAGAGGGCUCUUGUCUCCUUUUUGGGGAUUUUCAUGAGCUCCAGCUAUAGGCUUAACGCGUUCUGGUGGAACUCUGAUGUCAAGAUAUUCCAGUGAAAAACUUCAGGGUGAGGUCUAUCCAUUAAUCAGCUUGUUCCCCACUGUCCAUUUUACCCUGGGCUCCUGUGGGGAAUUAGGCACCUCAAGCCCAAAGGAGGCCCUGGGCCUCUUCAUUCAGAGGGUUCCUCACUUUCUCCUGCAUAAGAUGCUCAAGUCUUUUAUUGUUGCCUUCUGCUUUAGCUGAGGGCAAUCUGUUUUCCUCUGUUCCUCCUCCUUACAGUAAGACAUUGUUCCUUCCUCAACACUUACCUCUUCAGUUCCUUGCCUCUGGGAAUCCAGUGCCGCUGCCAAAAACUUGGCAUUUCAUCUUGCUUCUUCUUUCUUCUAUUGUUUUCUGUUGAAUACUUUUAAAAGCAACAUCUACCAAUUGAGAAGGGUUCAUUCUAAAGGGGAUGUGGGCUGGAUCCCUUUCGGGAAGAUUUCACAUGCCAGGGGGGCAACUAAACCUGUGUGCCACAACUUCGAGCUGCAAGUACUGACUGCGAGUCACAACAACAGAACCUGCAUGGUCUAGAGCCUGCAAUAAGACAAGCCACCACAAUGAGAAGCCCACGCACCACAAAGAACAGCCCCCACUUGAUGCAACUAGAGAAAGCCCACGCAC